rnacentral:tRNA from 1 species
GUCGAAGUGGUGGAAUUGGUAGACACGCUAUCUUGAGGGGGUAGUGGGGUAUCCCGUGGGGGUUCGAGUCCCCCCUUCGACA